AUGGGAGGUAGAUAUCCUCACAUGCUUUUGAUCCUCAUACUCCUUCAUGGGGCCAAUGCCGCUAUAGAUGCUCCGGUAGAGAAAUGGCAGACUCUGGAUGGUCGUCCUCCUCUAGUCAUCGCUCGUGGAGGCUUCUCUGGCUUAUUUCCCGAAUCAAGCAAGUUUGCGUAUGAGUUUGCGAUGACAGCUAGCUUGCCUGGAGUCGUUCUGGAGUGUGAUCUGCAAUUGUCCAGUGACGGUGUGGGCUUCUGCAGAAGUGGCUUAACGCUUGAUAAGUCAACACUAAUUGCUGAAAUGUACCCUAAGAAGGACAAAACGUACAAGCUGGGUUCAGAAGAUAUUCAUGGGUGGUUUGCUGUGGAUUUCACCUCAGACGAGCUCAUAAAUAAUGUCACAGUGAUCCAAACUAUUUUUUCUCGCCCAAGCACAUUUGAUGCCAUAAUGGGAAUGUAUACGCUUGAUGAUAUGGCUGGACUCCACCCGCAACAAAUUUGGGUUAAUGUGGAGUUCGAUGGUUUUUAUAGGGAUCACAAUUUAGAUAUCGAAGAUUACCUAUUAAAAUUACCAAAAGAUUAUCCUAUUGCCUACAUAUCCUCGCCAGAUAUUUCAUUCUUGAAAAGUAUUGGUGGAAAGCUUAAGGGCAGGGCUAAGCUAAUUUUGCGGUGUCUCGCUGAUAAUGUUACCGAGACAAGCGUCAAGAAAUCAUAUGGAGAAAUAUUGAAAGAUCUGAAAUCCGUCAAGGCUUUUGCAUCAGGAAUUAUGGUCCCCAGGAAUUAUGUUUGGCCAGUGAAUAACAAUCUGUACUUGCUCCCACCUACCAGUCUGGUCAAAGAUGCACAUGCCCUAGGGCUGGAAGUGCAUGUAGGAUCGUUUGCCAAUGAUAUCCUUACGAGUUACAACUACAGCUAUGAUCCUGCUGCGGAAUACUUGCAGUUCAUAAACAACCCAGACUUCACUGUAGAUGGUUUGAUGACUGACUUCCCGCCCACUGCAUCAGGAGCUGUCGCGUGCUUGGCACAUAAUGAAGCAAAUGCUCUUGCUUCAAAUGGAGAGAGGCCACUCAUUAUAACGCACAAUGGCGCAAGUGGCGUGUACGCAGGCUGCACGGACCUUGCCUACCAACAAGCAGUGAAAGAUGGUGCCGACAUAAUAGAUUGCUCGGUUCGGAUGUCAAAAGACGGUGUGGCCUUUUGCCUGGGCUCUGCAGAUCUCAUUGCCAGCACGACGGCAGCAACCACUUUCAUGACAAAAGUUGUUACCAUCAGUGAAAUACAGAAUAAAUCAGGCAUUUUCUCGUUUGAUCUUUCAUGGAGCGAGAUCCAAACCUUGAAACCCGAGCUUACUGGUCCAUUUGCUCAGGCAGGCCUGAAAAGAAAUCCUGCAGCGAAGAAUGCUGGCAAAUUCUUUACUUUGCCCGAAUUCCUUCACUUUGCCAAAAGUAGCAAUGUCUCUGGUAUACUGAUCGAGAUAGAGGAUGCUCCAUACCUUGCAACCAGAGGUCUUGGCCUGGUAGAUGCAGUCUCCGGUGCACUGGUCAAUGCCAGCUACGACAAGGAGAGCAAGCAGCAAGUGUUCAUUGAGUCAGACGACUCCUCCGUACUUUCAGCGUUCAAGAAGUUCCCAUCGUUUAAGCGGGUUCUCACUGUUGGCACCAUAAUAAGUGAUGCUUCCAAGCCUUCAGUGGAUGAGAUCAAGGAGUUUGCGCAUGUAGUGAUGGUGACCCGCGGUUCGCUCGUGAAGGUCAAUGGCUUCUUCCUGACAGGGUUCACUAAUUUGGUGGAGAAUCUGCACGCUGCAAACUUAUCGGUGCACGUCGGUCCGCUCAAGAAUGAGUUCACCAACUUUGGGUUCGACUACUUUGCUGAUCCGAUGGUCGAGAUCGCUACAUACUCUGCAGCAUUGGUCGUCGAUGGAAUUGUGACCGAGUUCCCUGCCACUGCAACUACAUACUUCAGGAGCCCAUGCAGUGAUCCGACGAAGAACCUGACCUACACAAUCAUGGCUGCAGCACCCGGUGCUCUGGUGAGCAUGGUCCCCCCAGGCGCGCUGCCCCCGGCGCUCCCCCCAGCACCCUUGCUGGAACCCGCCGAUGUUAUCGACCCGCCGCUGCCGCCUGUGUCGGUGAGCAGCCCUCCGGAGGCUGCACCGAAAGUAGCUGACAGCAGCUCCUCUCCACCCAGCUCCAGUGCCGGCAGUAGCUUCCUGGUAGCAACUGGCAUUGCUGCCUUCUUGUACUCGGGCUGCCAUUGA
rnacentral:rRNA from 1 species